ensembl:lncRNA
AGGCAGACAGCAGAACUACUGAGCUAAAUCCCCGGCCCUCCAGUUAACUUUCAAUUAUUAUAGGGCUCAAAACAUAGGGACAGGUAGUUGGUACCUGAUUUCUGGCAUCUCCAUUCUGAUUUACUGACUGGCAAAAUAUCUGCCUCUCCAGAACUUAAGAUUUCCUCAGACCUUCACUGAGGAUUUCUGAGAGAAAAUUUGGUAUUACACACUGUCCUUGGUGUAGAAACACAAGAGAAAAAAUAAGCAAAGCUGGGCGAGAGGUGUAGCUCAGUAGUAGAGCACUGGGUUAGCAUGUGCAAGGUCUUGGGUUCAAGGUCCAGAAUUGCAAAAUAAUAAUAACACAAUAAGAACAAUAGGGCUAUCAUGGCUUUCCUCACAAUAGCCCGCCCUGUAUCCUUUAGGAUGUGCUUUUAUCUUGCUUUUUGCUCUUUUACUUGGCCCAAGUUUGCUCUGCAGAGCCAGUUUCUCCCUCACUCUUAGCCUUUACAUUUUCAAAUAAACUUUGUCACUGCUUUUUGCUCAUUCCCUUCAACUCUUUGUUCAAGAGGAGAAGAACCUGGAAUCCAACUCCAGGAGAAGUGAGGAACUCAGAACCCGGCUGGCCUUGAACUCACUCUGCAGCCCGGGCUGGCGAUCCUCCUGUCUCAGCCUCCCGAGUGUUAGGAUUACAGACCUGCACUACCAUGCCUGGCGAGGUUUCUUUUAUAUGAAUAACCUCUAGAUGAAGACUUCCUGGUACGAUAGGACGCGUUAUUGGACGUGUCUGUGGAAAUGCGCUAAGGUGUGUGGGUAGCUGAGGUCCCGCAGUCAGCGUAGAGGAGGGGCAUGGCUCUGGGUUCUAAUCCUAACCCCUCUCUGAGACCUCAGAUUUUUCCCUUGAAACAAGGAAAGGAGGUAUCCUAAAGGAGGGUGAAAAGCACAAAUCGCUAGAGGCGCUCUAUAGCUAUAGCUGUAAUAGUUCUUAGGGAGUUUUCACACCCUCGUCUUGGAGACCAUCGGAGGGUCGCCCCGUCAGGUCUAAGAAGUUGUAAGGUGUGGGACAGAGUGGCACGGAGGGCUACUGACCUGAGGCUACGGCUAGGACUCUUUCCGCGCUCUGCUGGGUCGACUCGCAGGCUCUGCGCCCCGCGCGCAGGGAUAGACGCGCGCGCCCGCCCGCCCAGGGCGCUUUCCGCAUCACCUCAGAUUGCUCGCCAAGGCCUGCACGGUAGGCGGCGCUACAGAGGGG